GAGGAACACAUCCAAGUGGAAGAAUGCAUCCUGACCAAGGUGACAAGAAGAUGGAUGACUUCUCUCCGUCACGCAACUAUUGUCAGCGCCAUGCAAACACUCAAGAAGAAGGGUUGCGUGUGAAGGGAGCUGCUUGCAUGUGACCCCUGCUGACCCCUGAUUGUCGUUCCUGUCGUGACCCCCCCC